rnacentral:rRNA from 1 species
UACGAAGGGGGCUAGCGUUGCUCGGAAUUACUGGGCGUAAAGCGCACGUAGGCGGCUUUCUAAGUCGGGGGUGAAAUCCUGGAGCUCAACUCCAGAACUGCCUUCGAUACUGGAGAGCUCGAGUCCGGGAGAGGUGAGUGGAACUGCGAGUGUAGAGGUGAAAUUCGUAGAUAUUCGGAAGAACACCAGUGGCGAAGGCGACUCACUGGACACGUAUUGACGCUGAGGUGCGAAAGCGUGGGGAGCAAACAGG